GCUACUCUGUCCUGGAUUCCCCACUCUACACUCCCUUAGAUUCCCCUCCGGAUCUGCUUACCCUGUCCCCACACCUCUCGCUACCGCCUCAGCCUCCGCACCUGGUUUCCAGCAACCCGCCCGAGCUUCCCCUGGCCUGCACUCAAUCUUCCCCCCGUGUUUCAAUAAAUACCUUGGUUACCUCAACCCAGUCUCCUCGUCUGAGUCUGCUCUUGGGUUCACCUGUUCCGCUCCGCGCGACAGUACGAUCUGGCUAAAGACAUGAACCCAGCAGACAGAUCCACUCCACCAAACCCUCGCCGGUCAAGACUCCCUGCUCGAGCAACAUGACCAAGACCUGAAAACCCUUCUGGAGCAUAUCAAGGAGUUUUCACAGAGCCUGUCUGACCUACAGGGCCGACCCUUUGCCCAGAGCUCACAACCAGCCCCUAGUUCGCCUCCUCUGCUCUGUGAGCCAUUCCUUCCGGCCCCCGAGCGUUACGACGGCAACCUCUGAGCUUGCAGAGCCUUUUUGUUACAAUGUUCGCUGGUAUACGAGCAACAGCCCUACGCUUAUAACUAGCAAACGGGCCAAGAUUCCUUCGUGAUUGGCAGCCUCUGUGGAGCAGCGCUUUCUUGGGCCAUGGCUGUGGGGGAUAUACUGUUGAGUCAAGCGCCGGUCCAUCUUCCUCCACACCCUUGCUAGACGGCACUCUUGUAUGGCAAAGCCAGGAUUUUUCUCUACCUGCCCUCAUCGACUUGGGUGCCGACGAGAGUUUCCUGGACCGAGGUGUUGUUACCCAGUUGGGUCUGGACACUGUUCCACUCGAUUCACCCAUCGAUGCCAACGCUCUCAAUGGACAGCUCCUCGCUCAUGUCAGUGAGAGAACCGUGCCGGUCAUCCUGCGUCUCUCUGGGAAUCACCAGGAAAGGAUCAGUCUCCACAUAAUCGACUGCCCUAGAUCUCCCCUGGUUCUUGGCCAUCCUUGGUUCAAUCUGCACAACCCACAGAUUGACUAGCCCUCUGGAAAGGUCACCACUUGGAGUACAUUUUGUCACUCUAAUUGUCUACAUUCUGCCCUUCCCCAUGCCUUGUCUGUGCCCCAGUCCAUUCCAGAACCUCCGGACCUGUCAUCAGUUCCUCCAGAGUAUCACGAUCUAGCUCUUGUGUUCAGCAAGCACCACACCCUGGCUCUCUGCCGCCUCAUCGGCCGUAUGACUGCGCUAUUGACCUCUAGCCUGAAGCUCCUCUCCCCUGUAGCCGGUUGUUUAACCUCUCUCGACCCGAGCAGGAGACUAUGGAGGAGUGCAUCCAUGAUUCCCUGGCUGCAGAACAUUUCUGGCCUACUUUCUCUCUGGGAGGGGCUGGUUUUUUCUUUGUCAAAAAAAAGAUGGGUCACUGAGCCGUCCAUAGACUUCCGUUGGCUGAAUAGUAUCACUGUUAGUUACAAGUACCCCUUGCCACUCAUCAGUUCUGCUUUUGCCCCCCUCCAUAGUGCCACGGUGUUCACUAAACUGGACCUCCGGAAUGCCUACCACCUUGUCUGUGUCAGAGAGGGGGAUGAGUAGAAAAUGGCAUUGAACACACCACUUGGACACUGAGUAUUUGGCCAUGCCGUUUGGUCUCACUAAUGCUCCUGCUGUUUUGCAGAGCCUGGUUAAUGACAUUCUGAGGGAUGUGAUUAGACAAUUUUUUGUCUAUGUGUUACAUCAUUUCACAAGGACAGUUACGGACGGACCCUGCCAAUGCCAGGGCAGUCGCCUGUGCCCUCGAAUCUGAAGCAGGUACAGCGUUUCGCCAAUUUUUACAGACGUUUCAUCCACGACUACAGCCAUUUGGCUGCCCCUCUCACCUCCACCUCCGUUCCACUGGUCCCCUGAGGCAGUGGCAGCCUUCCCGGGGACUGAAGAGGCGCUUCACUUCCGCUCUGAUCCUCACCUAGCCAGACCCAGAACUCCAGUUCGUCGUCGAUGUGGACGCCUUUGACACCGGGGUAACCGGGAACUCCUGGCUGUGAAGCUGGCUCUUGAAGCGUGGGGUCACUUUUUCGGAGGGCUCGGUUCUCCCCUUCAUUCAUGUGGAAGGACCAUCCUACAUCCAGACGUCUGAACUCCUGGCAGACCAGUUCACCGCCGACAACACAGGUUCCGACACAGAGACCAUUAUGCCAUCCACCUGCAUCGUUGCCCGCUGUCACCUGGGAGAUCGAGUCCUUUUUCGCCAGGCUCAGCAGAACAAGCCUAACCCAGAUGUUCGUGGUGGGGGCUCAGAGCAGUGUGAAUAACUACUACUGACGUAACUCACAAAACAGAUGGACGUGACAUAUGAAGAGUGCUGAAUGUAUUUCUAUCCUAAUUUACAAUUACAUGUGGAAUUGUUGUAUUCAUUUGAUGGGUAUAGACUGUAAGUCAUGUCCCUUUGAUGCACGCUCAUAAGAUCUCAAAUGCUGAAAUAUCUUUUCAUUGGUUGUAAACGUUUUUGCCACAUUUUUGUUGUUGUUGCUGUCUUUAAUUUAGAGAUGAAUUCUGAUGGACCUUUAUAAAAUGGCACUAUAGUUGGUAAAGUUAAGUCAUAAGCUAUCUAAGCAGGAUGAUACAUAAAAUAGGCUACCUCUUAAUGAAUAACCCCUGUUUGAGUAAUAUCCUAUCACCUGAAGAGAUAUAUUAAUAAUGUAAGAAUAUUCUGUCAAUUUGCUACUAUGCCAAAUAGGCUACGUUACAAAAGUGAGAUAAACGUCUGAAACGCCAGUUCAUCCAAGCCAUUACGUAGGCGCUACCUAUCACGUAUAUAUCGAAUGAUCUUCACUUCUGUCAAAGAAUGCAAAUGGUUGAAUGAUGACUUGUCAAAAGUCAAUCGUUUUUUCCUACUGUGCACAUUUUGCUGAGCACAUUGCAUUGGUAAAAUGUUCUAAGGCAUUUGUGGUUUGUUCAUAUUUCAUGUUUAGUUUACAUGUCGGUGCAGGCAUACAGCUAAUAGACUAUGGCGACAGCGGGGUGUCUUCCAGGCAAGAAUAUCCCAGGAUACACUGUUGUGAGACGCUCUGUCUGGAUUGCAGGCUGACGCACUGUACAUCAAAAUGCCCAACAACAAGUCUACAUUUUUCCACAGUCGUGACAUCGCGCAAAGGAGACGCAUAUUCUCUCAAUAAUCAUGUUCGAGAUGUCAUUGUGGCUCACAAAUGUACAGUGCAACGGAAUAAAAUGUUAGAAAUUCACUGACUGUCUCUCUGUUUAUGUAAUCACACAUCUCCCC
ensembl:lncRNA